rnacentral:rRNA from 1 species
AGAGUUUGAUCAUGGCUCAGGGGAACGCUGGCGGCGUGCUUAACACAUGCAAGUCGAGUGCGCGUUUCCGUAGCAAUACGGAAAUGGCGCACGGCGCACGGGUGCGUAACACGUGGGUAAUCUGCCCUCUGAUGGGGAAUAACUCGCCGAAAGGCGAGCUAAUUCCGCAUAACAUUCCUUGGACUCAGGUUCGAGGAUUCAAAGGCGUAAGUCGUCGGAGGUGGAGCCCGCGCACGAUUAGCUAGUUGGUGAGGUAAUGGCUCACCAAGGCUUUGAUCGUUAGCUGGUCUGAGAGGAUGGCCAGCCACACUGGAACUGAGACACGGUCCAGACUCCUACGGAAGGCAGCAGUGGGGAAUCUUGCACAAUGGGCGAAAGCCUGAUGCAGCGACGCCGCGUGGGGGAUGAAGCUUCUCGGAGUGUAAACCCCUUUCGACCGGGACGAAUGCCUCGCAAGAGGACUGACGGUACCGGUAUAAGAAGCCCCGGCUAACUACGUGCCAGCAGCCGCGGUAAGACGUAGGGGGCCAGCGUUGCUCGGAAUUGCUGGGUGUAAAGGGUUCGUAGGCGGUGUGGCAAGUCGGGAGUGAAAUCUCUGAGCUUAACUCAGGGCCUGCUUCCGAAACUGCUGUGCUAGAGUGUGGGAGAGGCGCGUGGAAUUGCAGGUGUAGCGGUGAAAUGCGUAGAUAUCUGCAGGAACACCCGUGGCGAAAGCGGCGCGCUGGACCACUACUGACGCUGAGGAACGAAAGCUAGGGGAGCAAACAGGAUUAGAUACCCUAGUAGUCC